GGUGCGUCCGUGGCGAACGAGGUAGUAAUACGCAGGAAUCUACUCUUAAGUCGGGGAUAACCCGUCGAAAGGCGGGGUAAUACUCGAUGGCAUCGUGCUUCACUAUUGUAAAUCACUUACAAAAAGUUUCAGUGGUUUGCGGUAGCGAGGCACGAUUAAAGAUUUAUCGCUUAAGAAAGAGCCUGUGGGACAUCAGCUAGUUGGUAGGGUAAUGGCCUACCAAGGCAAUGACGUCUAGGGGAGGUGAGAGCCUGGCCCCCACCGAUGGGACUGAGACACGGCCCAUACACCUACGGGUGGCUGCAGUCGAGAAUCUUCCGCAAUGGGCGAAAGCCUGACGGAGCGACGCCGCGUGAUGGAUGAAGUUCUUAGGAGCGUAAACAUCUUUUAUGAGGGAAGAAGUGGUUGUGCCUCACAGAGUUUGGCACAAGCGCAAAACUUAAAACGCAAAACGUAAAGCUUAAGCAAAAAAAAUAAAAACUUAAGAAAAAUCAGUCUGAUUUUUCCAGUUUGAAACUUUUGAGUUUAAGUUUUGAGUUUUGAACUUUGAGUUUUGAGUUUGUUGAGCCGAGCUUUGCGAGGCGCAACUAUAUGACGGUACCUCAUGAAUAAGGGGCUGCAAAACUCGUGCCAGCAGCAGCGGUAAAACGAGUGCCCCAAGCGUUACCCGGAAUUACUGGGCGUAAAGAGUGCGUCGGUGGUUCUGAUUAGUCCUCCGUUAAAACUCCCGGCCCAACCGGGAAGCUGCGGAGGAAACGGCAGAACUAGAGAAGGCGAGGGGUCUAUGGAACUCAUGGUGUAGGGGUGAAAUCCGUUGAUAUCAUGGGGAACACCAAAAGCGAAGGCAAUAGACUGGCGCCUGUCUGACACUCAAGCACGAAAGCGUGGGGAGCGAACGGGAUUAGAUACCCCGGUAGUCCACGCCCUAAACGAUGUUCUCUAGCUUUUUGGAGUAUCGACCCUCUGAGAGGCACAGCUAACGCGUUAAGAGAACCGCCUGGGAAGUACGGCCGCAAGGCUAAAACUCAAAAGAAUAGACGGGGGCUCGCACAAGCGGUGGAUUAUGUGGUUUAAUUCGAUGCUAAACGAAGAACCUCACCAAGGCUAGACAUCCAACUGAAGGGUCUGGGAAACCAGGUCUCUCCCACAAGGACAGUUGGACAGGUGAUGCAUGGUUGUCGUCAGUUCGUGGUUUGAAUUGUUCCCUUAAGUGGGGUAACGAACGCAACCCUUGUCGUCUGUUAUAAGUGUCAGACGAGACUGCCCUGCUCAGCAGGGAGGAAGCGAGGAUGACGCCAAAUCAGCAUGUCCCUCGACGCCUUGGGCUACACACAUAAUACAAUGGUCAUUACAGAGAGUCGCAAUAUCGUAAGAUGGAGCUAAUCUUUAAAAGUGGCCCCAGUUCGGAUUGAGGUCUGCAACUCGACCUCAUGAAGCCGGAAUCGCUAGUAAUCGCAGGUCAGCUAUACUGCGGUGAAUACGUUCUCGAGCCUUGUACUCACUGCCCGUCAAGCCAGGGGAGCCGGGAGUGCCCAAAGUGCCGUUUCGGCGGUCCUAAGGCAAGCUCGGUAACAAGGGUUAAGUCGUAACAAGGCACGGCUAGCGGAAGCUGGUCGUG
rnacentral:rRNA from 1 species